CUUAAAGGAAUUGACGGGGGCCCGCACAAGCGGUGGAGCAUGUGGUUCAAUUCGACGCAACGCGAAGAACCUUACCAGCCCUUGACUUGUGACUCGCCGGCUCCAGAGACGGAGCCUUCGGUUCGGCCGGAGUCAACACAGGUGCUGCAUGGCUGUCGUCAGCUCGUGUCGUGAGAUGUUGGGUUAAGUCCCGCAACGAGCGCAACCCUCGUCUCCAGUUGCCAUCAGGUAAUGCUGGGCACUUUGGAGAAACUGCCGGUGACAAGCCGGAGGAAGGUGGGGAUGACGUCAAGUCCUCAUGGCCCUUACGGGCUGGGCUACACACGUGCUACAAUGGCGGUGACAGUGGGAUGCGAAGGGGCGACCCGGAGCCGAUCCUAAAAAGCCGUCUCAGUUCGGAUUGCACUCUGCAACUCGAGUGCAUGAAGGUGGAGUCGCUAGUAAUCGAGGAUCCAGCAUGCCUCGGUGAAUACGUUCCCGGGCCUU
rnacentral:rRNA from 1 species